rnacentral:rRNA from 1 species
AUUGAACGCUGGCGGCAGGCCUAACACAUGCAAGUCGAACGAGUGGCGGACGGGUGAGUAAUGUCUGGGAAACUGCCUGAUGGAGGGGGAUAACUACAGGAAACGGUAGCUAAUACCGCAUACCAUCGGAUGUGCCCAGAUGUGAUUAGCUAGUAGGUGGGGUAAAGGCUCACCUAGGCGACGAUCCCUAGCUGGUCUGAGAGGAUGCCCAACCACACUGGAACUUAGCCACGGUCCAGCAUCCUACGGGAGGCAGCAUGGGGGAAUAUUGCACAAUGGGCGCAAGCCUGAUGCAUCCAUGCCGCGUGUAUGAAGAAGGCCUUCGGGUUGUAAAGUACUUUCAGCGGGGAGGCGUUACCCGCAGAAGAAGCACCGGCUAACUCCGUGCCAGCCGCCGCGGUAAUUC